rnacentral:rRNA from 1 species
CGAAGCUGCCGUUGAAGGAUGGUUCCGCCUCCCACUAGCUUGUUGGUGGGGUAAUGGCCUACCAAGGCGACGAUGGGUAGCCGGCCUGAGAGGGUGUCCGGCCACACUGGGACUGAGAUACGGCCCAGACUCCUACGGGAGGCAGCAGUCGAGAAGCUUCGGCAAUGGGCGAAAGCCUGACCGAGCGAUGCCGCGUGAGUGAAGAAGGCCCUAUGGGUUGUAAAGCUCUGUCAGAUUGGGAAGAAAACUCGGCGGUUAAUACCCGUCGAGCUUGACGGUACCAUCAGAGGAAGCACCGGCUAACUCCGUGCCAGCAGCCGCGGUAAUACGGAGGGUGCAAGCGUUGUUCGGAUUCACUGGGUAUAAAGGGUGCGCAGGCGGCCUAAUAAGUCAGAGGUGAAAUAUGACGGCUCAACCGUCAAACGGCCCCUGAAACUGUUGGGCUUGAGUUCGAGAGAGGUAGGUGGAAUUCCAGGUGUAGCGGUGAAAUGCGUAAAUAUCUGGAGGAACACCGGUGGCGAAGGCGGCCUACUGGCUCGAUACUGACGCUCAGGCACGAAAGCAUGGGGAGCGAACGGGAUUAGAUACCCCGGUAGUCCAUGCCGUAAACGAUGGGUACUAGGUGUUGGAGGAUUCUACCCCUUCAGUGCCGCAGCUAACGCAUUAAGUACCCCACCUGGGGAGUACGAUCGCAAGGUUGAAACUCAAAGGAAUUGACGGGGGCCCGCACAAGCGGUGGAGCAUGUGGUUUAAUUCGAUGCAACGCGAAGAACCUUACCUGGGCUUGACAUGCAGGGGACAGGUGUAGAAAUACAUCCUUCUUCGGACUCCUGUACAGGUGCUGCAUGGCUGUCGUCAGCUCGUGUCGUGAAAUGUUGGGUUAAGUCCCGCAACGAGCGCAACCCUUGUCUUUAGUUGCCAUCAGGUAAUGCUGGGGACUCUAGAGAGACUGCCGGUGACAAACCGGAGGAAGGUGGGGACGACGUCAAGUCAUCAUGGCCCUUACGCCCAGGGCUACACACGUGCUACAAUGGUCGGUACAAAGGGCUGCAAUACAGCGAUGUGGAGCGAAUCCCAAAAAGCCGGCCUCAGUUCGGAUCGUAGUCUGCAACUCGACUACGUGAAGUUGGAAUCGCUAGUAAUCGCGUAUCAGAACGACGCGGUGAAUACGUUCCCGGGCCUUGUACACACCGCUCGUCAAGUCAACCGAGUUGGCUGCACCCCAAGUCGCUGAGCUAACCCCUUCGGGGGAGGCAAGUGCCCAAGGUGUGGUUGGCGAGGGGGACUAAGUCGAAACAAGGUA